rnacentral:rRNA from 1 species
AUGGCUCGUGCUGUUGUUCCGUUGAAUUUUAAUGCAUUCCUUGAGAAAGCUAAGUUGAAAAAUGAUGGUAGCAAUUACACGGACUGGCUCCGUAACUUGAGGAUUAUCCUCAUUACUGCACAGAAGAAUUACAUCCUGGAAGCACCGCUAGGUUUCAGGCCUACUACAGGUGCAACUGACAACGUUAAGAAUGUCUGGCAGAGCAAAGCUGAUGACUACUCGAUAGUUCAGUGUGCCAUGCUUUACGGCUUAGAACCGGGUCUUCAACGACGUUUUGAACGUCAUGGAGCAUAUGAGAUGUUUCAGGAGUUGAAGUUAAUAUUUUAA